AACGAACGCUGGCGGCGUGCUUAACACAUGCAAGUCGAACGUGAAGGGGACUUCGGUCCCUGGAAAGUGGCGCACGGGUGAGUAACGCGUGGAUAAUCUACCCAAUGAUCUGGGAUAACAUUUCGAAAGGGGUGCUAAUACCGGAUAAGACCACGGAGUCUCUGGAUUCUGCGGUAAAAGGUGGGGACCUUCGGGCCUACCGUCAUCGGAUGAGUCCGCGUACCAUUAGCUAGUUGGUGGGGUAAUGGCCUACCAAGGCUACGAUGGUUAGCUGGUCUGAGAGGAUGAUCAGCCACACUGGAACUGAGACACGGUCCAGACUCCUACGGGUGGCAG
rnacentral:rRNA from 1 species